rnacentral:lncRNA from 1 species
GUUAUGGUUGAGCUAUAUAUAUAUGGACACAAAAAUAAAUUAAUGAUUUGUUAUACCUCAGUGAACCAGCUAUGUUAACAGUCUAAACUUGUUAAAUAAACUGACAUUUCACCAAGGGUUAAUAUCAAUGGAAUUUAUUACAAUUUACUCAGCUCCAAGGCACAUUACAAGUCUUCUGUUACUACAGAAAUGUAUUAACAAACAGUUUACGUUCAUGUACAGCAUUUUGCUCUACCUUUUUAAGCAUCCGUGCAUCAUCAAAGCAAACGGGAAGAGAAAUGAAUAACACGUAGUAAAAUAUUUUCUAUCACAAGAAGAAAAGAAAAAAAAAAUUAAAUUAACGAAAAAAAGUCCUCAGAAUGAUUUGUACCCAAUAUAGGAGUAAGGGCAAAUUGUCAUUACUGUUAUUGGAUAUUUACUAUGCGUAGUUUCAUUUUACAGACAUAUAUUCAUUGGGAGUUUAAACUGGCCUUUUUAUAAUGAGAGAAGUGCAUGAGUUGGGGGAAAAACGGCAGCAGUGAUUACAAAGUGAAAGUGCUUUGACUCGUCACUGCCAUCCAAAUACAACACUAGUACCCGUCAAAACACCCUCCAUACAAUUAGGUGACAUCACAUACUGUACUGUUCCGUUGCUUCAAAAAACAGAAAUAUGAGGGGACGUCUCUGUACAUCAACUAUUUUUGUACGUUUUGAGUAUUCACAUGUGUAUACUGUAUAUAUUGGACUAAAAUGCACGUUUCUAUGGGAAGCCAUCGGACAUAUCUAUGGGUCCCUCUCCUUUUUUACCUUAACGUCCCCAGCUAAUAUUGUUGCUAUCUCACCUUGCAUGAACGCCCAAGGCACAUUAGAACCUACCAGGGGGCAUUUUUCUCCGCUAGGACAAUACACCUCGCCAGUUGCUCCCUGCGCUUUGAUGCUCUCUCGAGAACAAGGGAAACAGAAUUUAUGGUUGGGAACUGACGGACACUGAACGAAAUGGGUAUCCUCUAAACGUUCGUGGCAAAUGGUACAACACAGAGGCCCGUUGUUUGCCAUGGGCGAAUCUGGAAUGUUUUGCGCGUGGACCUGAUCCAUGCCAGAAUGCGCAUUGGACUGGGAGGGACCCCCGGAUAGAUUGAGCUCUCCGUUACGGGAAGCCAAACGCCUCUGCCCCGAAACAGAGGCGGGCGAGACCGGGCUGCUGUUGUUAUGCCUGGUGGAUGUGGUGGAGUGAACUGAGUUGUUGUCCUUCGGGGAGUGCGCAUUGCCCAACGUGUCCGCGACAGACAUGAGCGCGGCCAUUGGAGACUGUCCAUUCUGGGGCGUUGAUUCAGGGGGCGUAGCGCGACUUGAGUGAACAGAAUGACCAGGGCCGAGCGGUGGGGGUGCCCCGUGUGAGGUACCGAAUGAUCCGGAUGCCAUCGUCAGUUUUAACGCCUCGCUCUGGCUGGCCAUCCACUGCUGCCUCUGUUGUUCUUGUUCAGACAGUUUCAGCGCGCUCUCUGCAGAGUCAGGUUCUGGGGAGGCUUUACGCUUACGCACGCCAAUCCUCGGGGCACUCGCAGAUGGCAAGCCACGGGGGAUGUUGACCAAAGCAGUGGGCAGCAAUGGACAGCUGGCAUCAAUGUAGGGCUGUGGCAACAUUUCAACCCCCAGUCCCUCUUUAAAGAAUCGGACCGACUCGGGCAACAAAUCACCCAGGAGUCGCCAGUCCCCAGAACCAUGCUUUUUCUCAUACUCCAAAUAUUUAAAACCCGAGGAGAGCCCUCUGCCAAAGUCCUUCAUGCAGUCCUGAUACAUUUGUUUGGCCACCCCCGAUGCGCUGGAAAAUACAUUACCAGAUCCACUUGCGUACUCGAUAAAUAUUUUCAAUUCAUAGUCCAUGCCUGGCUUUGACACUGCAUCGAAAGCAAACACCCUACCCACGAGUGAAUGAUCCUUUUUAAAUCUCACAUCAAACGGGGCGCUGUUUGAAAGAGUAACCAAAGUGUCCCUUACUAUUUUCGGUUUGUUUGCCCAGUCUUCGUUUCUGUUUCUUAAACUUUCACUGAGCUCAGCCAAAGCUUCCGCAUUACGCUGUUUCUCUUUCAGAUCUCUCUCUUGGUCAGUGCUUGACACAGAACCUGGUCGUUUACCUUGUUCUGACAUGGACUGAGAAGACGUGGACAAAGAGGGUCCCACAAUGGAUGGAGGGGGGCGGCUAGACAGGCUAUGCGAGGCUAUGGCUGUUGCCGAGGAGGGUCCAUUCAACAUGGUCUGUGGGAGAAGGUUGGGGGGGACAUUCAUUUGUCCUGGGGCCGCAACUAGACCAUGGCUCCGACGGGAGUUUGGGCUCUGUCGGUUCAACUCUGGGGGACCAUCGUCCGGUUUUGGGAACCCAUUUGGACCGCUCAUUCCAUUGGGAAGUCUGCUGGCAUGGGCGCCAAUACUGGAGUAGUCAAAGCGAGGUCUCUCUGCGUUCAGAGAGUAGCGGUCCAUCCCCGACUGUUGUUGUUUAGAUGGUCCGUCCACAUGGUUGAUUUGCACCGUCUCCUUGGCUGAUAUUGCCGCCUGGGUUUUGACUGUGGGCGGCGGCGGUGGACCGGGGGAUCUCCCCUCCUGGAAACCAUGAGCACGUUUGAGGUGGCGUGCAGUUUCGAUUACAAACUCGAUCCGAUCUGCACCUUCAUAAUUCACACAACCCCUGCACACUGCCUCCGUAAAAUCCCAAAUCAUAGCCCACGGCAUACGGGGUAAAUCGCACAGGUAACAUGACUGUCUCCGAGAUGAAGAUGCGUGUGCAGAAGACAUGUUGAAUGUCCCUUGCCCUGGUCCUUUUCCCCCCAGAUUAUUUGAUUGCAAUUUUUCUUUUCAGUCCGUGAAUUUGCCCCAAAAAAGGAACCCUCUUCCUUCCCUACUCCUUUUCUGAUGCCAGUGACGAGCAGUGAUCGGUUGUAGGACUGAAAUGUGCUUUACGCGCGUCUCACAUCCUGACUUGGUUCGUGAUUUGAAAUGUUGAUUGUGCCUCCACGUCUCCUCUCCCCAGUUUGGAAUGCCACCUGGCUGGAACAGUGACGUAAGCACCACGUUCCGCAGUUCAGAAAAAAAGACAUGCCACUUGUUGCUUUCCUAACAAGCAAAGCUCAAACCACUCCCUCCUAAUCUUUUGAAUGGACUGGGAGCUAACAACACGAACGCUGACCAAAUUACAUAAAGCAGAAUAUGGGUUUCUACAACUCUGGCAUUUGAAUGUAUUUUACUACUGAGAAAUUGUGUGUCAAUAUUAUAUUAGAUGUCAUAUUAGAUAUCAUUAAUAUACCAUUAAUUAUUAAAUACAAAUGUAUUAUGUUUCAAAUAGGUUACUUUCGCUUAUGUCAGCAAAACGAAACCUUCAAUAGCAUAAAGCAAUUUACGAUUACGAAACAAUUCAAUUUGUUAUGCGUUAUGUUUGUUUUUCGCAAUGCAGGAGCAUCAAAACAGCAUUAUCUUAAUCAAACCACUAUCGAGCAAAAAACCUGGUUAAAAGGAUAACGCCUGGCUAUAGCCUACCAUUAUGUAAUGGAGCGAAAGCCUUUAAUAUACCUUUAUCUUUUCAUUUCUGAUUAAAAUAUGUUGAUAAUCUGAUUUCAUUUAGCAACAUGCAUUGCAAUAGGCAUGUGUGAUUACAAUAACCGUUUCAUAUAUUCCCCAAAAGAAAAUAUAAGCACAGUGUGAUGGCUAAAAUAAAUAGGGAGUCGAUUCCUCUGCAAUAUCCUCUGUAAAAAAUAACACUGGGCUAGGUGAACUAGAGAUAUUUUCCCUACAUUUCGAUUGUUUACCUACUGCACAGACAAGAGUAGCCUGCUCUGCGCAACCUCCAUCCGCCGCCCCUUCCUUCCCCUUUCCCCCCAGUCUCCCUUCCUGAUUAACAACACCCAGUAGGCAGGCAGAGAAGAAUUUCCCCCUGUUAUACAACUGGGAGAGAAGGAGAGCAAAGAAAGAAAAACAAGAAAUCUCGAAUUUGACCACCAUGGCUGCCCAGGUAACAGAAGCAGACCAGAUUAAACAGUUCAAAGAAUUUCUUGGCACCUACAACAAACUCAGAGAACUGCUUCAUGGACUGUGUGAAGGAUUUUACCACUAGAGAAGUAAAGCCAGAGGAGUCCACCUGCUCAGAGAGCUGCCUACAGAAGUACCUGAAGAUGACCCAGCGCAUCUCCAUGCGCUUCCAGGAGUACCACAUCCAGCAGAACGAAGCCCUGGCACAGAAAGCAGGUUUAAUGGGACCACGGUAGAGAACUACCGCCCUUUAAAUAUGGACAUAACACCAGCAGUCCCCCAUCCAGUCUGAUCACAACACGAUCUACACACCACUAUGAAGCUGUUAUUUGUGAAUCAGUGGAUGGCUAACCUACAUCAUCUACUUCUCAGGCUGAUGACUGCUUGGAC